rnacentral:misc_RNA from 1 species
ACACACACAUAUAUGCUGUCUCCAGUCCGUCAUGGCUGGUGAGCGGAAGGACCAUGGUGGAUACGUAGCAGGUGGGAUUUAACGUUUGUGUUUGCCUGUGCGUACCCAAGUAGACAAAACUGUGUGUGUGUGUGUGUGUGUAUUUUGUGUGGCCAGCAUGGUGGCCUUAUGACGCGGCUGUAGUUCGUUUGGUAUCACUAUGGCGGGCUUCAACACCACACACACACACACAACGGUCUCCUUUCCUGUUUCAUUCACUGGGGUACCUACUUUAUCGGAUGCUCUGAUGGUAUGGCUCGUGGGCGUGUGGCCUGCUCUGAUUGUUAUUUUGGUUUUAUUUACCAAGGCAGACCCUUGUCCCUUGUUCAAGCCAGGAGCGAUAAAGCAGUGCUGUGGUUAUGUUGGGCUUGUCUGCCGUCACAGUGCGAGGUUUCAUGAGAAGUGUGCUUGUCUGUAUGAGUGGUGGCUGCCGCCUUUGUCACCAGGUACAGCGACCGCUUCCCGCCCUGGAUUGAAUAUACGUUGUUGCACUCUGUUACACUGUUUAAGUAGCCUGGUCACGCGUGUCCUUUGCUGGAAGCUUGGCUGGACCUACUGCUCUCGCAUGCACCUGGUUGGCUUUGACAGUUGUCGGGUCGGCUGGACUGCAUGUACGUCGCUCAGCGGUUUUUCCCUGAGUAGGACUGAUCACGCUUUUGUGUGAUGGCUUUUGCUGUUGCCAAGAGCAAAAUAACUGUACAACUUUGAGCGGUGGAUCACUCGGCUCGUGUGUCGAUGAAGAGCGCAGCCAACUGUGUGAAUUAAUGUGAAUUGCAGACUGCUUUGAACAUCGACAACUUGAACGCACAUUGCGGCCAUGGGCUCGCCUGUGGCCACGUCUGACCGAGGGUCGGCUUAUAAACUAUCACGACGCCCAACAAGUCGUGGAUUGGAAGGACUUGCCAGCCAGCGUGAUUUCUCCACUAGCGUGUCUGUUGGCAUAAGUGGAGUGCUGCAGCAAUGGCGCCUUCUCAAGGUAUCUCCAACAGCUAGUUUGUUCCCCUACGCGACGAAACAGUGCUGGUGCUUAUGUGUACGCGAGUGCAUAUGAUUUUACGAUAUUGCACUGAGUAGGCUGGUGCAACAGCUGCACACGGGUUGUGUCCCAAUGUUGCUUUUUACUUGAUGACCCUGUGCAACGGUUUAUAUUGUUGCGUUCAGCUGCGCGUGAACAGCACACAACGUUUUGGUUCGCUAUGGGUGGAUAAAGUGGAGGAAAGGACAUCUACUGUUGCGAGUCGCUUGGCCAGGUUGAAGCGGUAUGCUACUGUUGCCACCACCAUCACUUGAGAAGAAGGAAAAGACUGGCUAUGGUGCCAUGGUGUGGUGCUGCUAGUGUUCACUUCUGCCUCCCUUGCCUGACCUCGGAUUAGACGUGAUUACCCGCUGAACUUAAGCAUA